UACGUAGGGUGCAAGCGUUGUCCGGAAUUAUUGGGCGUAAAGGGCUCGUAGGCGGUUUGUCGUGUCGGGAGUGAAAACUCAGGGCUUAACCCUGAGCCUGCUUCCGAUACGGGCAGACUAGAGGUAUGCAGGGGAGAAUGGAAUUCCUGGUGUAGCGGUGAAAUGCGCAGAUAUCAGGAGGAACACCGGUGGCGAAGGCGGUUCUCUGGGCAUUACCUGACGCUGAGGAGCGAAAGUGUGGGGGAGCGAACAGG
rnacentral:rRNA from 1 species